UCCCACAAGGAAUUGUGAAAACACUUUCCAGUAAGACAAACAAAACUAAAAAGAGAACUUGCUCAAAGAUUAUAUAUAUGCGAGCUCUUGCUGCUUCUAAUGGGUAAAAAAUAGGUGGAUUAUUGGCUCCCUGUUAUUCUCCAUUCUUGCUGAAGCCUUUGUAAAAAAAAAAAUCCUAUACUAUAUUUCCAGAGAAAGUAAAAGACAUAUAGGAGUAACGCGCAACUUCUGGUCUGUGCGCGUCAACCUUGCUGAGCCAACUCUGCAAGUUGAAAUUUCAACAUUCCGAGAAGAGUGGCUUGGCAAUCAAAUGAAUAUACCAUGUCUGGAAGCUUCAGAAAAACUUGACCAAUAGGCUCAUUCAAAUGGCUUAGAAAUCGACUGUAGGAUAAAGACCAGGCAUGUACGACCGCCCACUUCCAUUAGAAUCUACAUUAGCGUAAAAAUUGGAAUGUAGCUCCCCCGAGUGAGAUGAUUUGCGGGACUUGUUCUUAGGAGAAGCUGAGUAGUCACUGGAACCACUGCUAGUAUAAUACAUUGAUGAUGUUGGCAAUCCAUGGAUCUUUGGCAAGCCAGUUGGAUCAGAGCCCAAACUGUAUCCCCUUUCAACUGUUUCAGCUUCCAAUGGCAACUCAUCCAAUGUCCUAAAAGCCUGUUGAAGAACUCGAAGUGUUUCUCGUGUCCGCUUUCUUUUCAUCGCUAUCUCCUCUGGUUCCUGCAGCAUCUCUUCAAACAGGUUUUCUCUGUAAAGCUUUUUAAUGAAGACAUUGUGCAGUUCACGCUUUGUAUGGUUUACCAGAAAGUGCAUAAUUGCUUUUGGUACAGAGUCCUCAAUAUUCUUCCGAACAAUGUCAUAGUAUGAUCUCAAUAGCAAUUUAGUGACUGCAAUUUCAAUAGUCUCUUGCUCUGAAUGACUUUCUGAGGGUCUCAAGACAGUUGGAGGCUCUCUUAAAUGGAUCAAAGAAAUGCUUUGCUCCAAAUCAUCCAUGCUAUGAACAGGUUCAAUAUGUGACUUUGUUGUUGAGCCUUCUUUAGCAGACAUUCGGGAGUUAUCACUACCACCAAAAAUUGAUGAAAUACCCCAACUUGAGACACUCCCAGGGGUUGCAACCUUUUCAACAUCAGCCACAGGACGAACUCCCUGGUCAGCCACAACUCCAUUUACUUGUCUGGCAAGAAUUGCCCGAGACUUGAGGGUCCUCUCUGAUGUUGGGGCCUUGUCAAUCUCUGUACCGUCCUUUUGUCUCACUGGUAGGGAAACAGCCCUAGAAGACUUGACCUGUUGCAGUGCAAUUUCCACAGCCUUACUCCCACCAAUAAAAUUUGGGUGUGAGGUGUUUAUAUAAUCCAUCUCCAUUUCGAUAAUGUGGCCAAUCAUCGUCUCUGACGGAUCAAGACCAUCUCGCAAAAAGUUUCCGAUAACUUCAUCCAUACGCCUUCUUAGAACAGGAAACCUUUGCAGUUCAUUUACCAGACAGCGAUGGCUAAUCUUUAUUAAUUCAUCAUAUAUGAACCUAGCACACUGGAGGCUUGGAUCUAAUAAUCGAGCUAUCUGCCUUCGAACGAGAACUUCAAAUGGCACUUCUGGUACAAAUAGUGCAGAUCUAGGACCAGUUGCAUUCUGAAUUGCAGUUCGAAUGUCAUCAUCAGUCAAGUCCUCACAUGGAUCAACCUCCUCUAAACUCUUCACAAAGAUAGAUUGAAAUAUAUAGUGAAUGCGUGCUCCACCAGACAGCUCAGAUGUUGACAUUUGUUCAUUUUUGCCCUCUACCAUUGAAGAAAAUGCCUC
rnacentral:misc_RNA from 1 species